UACGUAGGUGGCAAGCGUUGUUCGGAAUUCCUGGGCGUAAAGGGCUCGUAGGCGGCCAACUAAGUCAGACGUGAAAUCCCUCGGCUUAACCGGGGAACUGCGUCUGAUACUGGAUGGCUUGAGAUUGGGAGAGGGAUGCGGAAUUCCAGGUGUAGCGGUGAAAUGCGUAGAUAUCUGGAGGAACACCGGUGGCGAAGGCGGCAUCCUGGACCAACACUGACGCUGAGGGAGCGAAAGCCAGGGGAGCAAACGGG
rnacentral:rRNA from 1 species